UACGUAGGGGGCUAGCGUUGUCCGGAAUCAUUGGGCGUAAAGAGCGUGUAGGCGGCUCGGUAAGUCCGCUGUGAAAGUCGGGGGGCUCAACCCUCGAAUGCCGGUGGAUACUGUCGAGCUAGAGUGCGGAAGAGGCGAGUGGAAUUCCUGGUGUAGCGGUGAAAUGCGCAGAUAUCAGGAGGAACACCGAUUGCGAAGGCAGCUCGCUGGGACGUUACUGACGCUGAGACGCGAAAGCGUGGGGAGCAAACAGG
rnacentral:rRNA from 1 species